UGGCAUGAAGAAGUUAUCCCACUUUCAAAUCAGGUGAUUACAGUUUCCCAGUUUGGGAAUAGCACAACUUCUUCGUCGUUCCAAUCAAACCAGGAUGAAUCACUUUGUGAAAAGCUUGAUUUGGAUACAUAAAGUGGUGGAGAAUCACCAGGAAGUUGAAUAAAUCUCAUAGGAGUUGGCAUGAAGAAGUUAUCCCACUUUCAAAUCAGGUGAUUCCAGUUUCCCAGUUUGGGAAUUGCACAGCUUCUUCAUCGUUCUAAUCAAAACAGGAUGAACCACUUUGUAAGAAGCUUGAUUUGGAUACAUAAAGUGGUGGACAAUCACCAGGAAGUUGAAUAAAUCUCAUAGGAGUUGGCAUGAAGAAGUUAUCCCACUUUCAAAUAACAUGAUUCCAGUUUCCCAGUUUGGGAAUAACACAGCUUCUUCGUCGUUCCAAUCAAACCAGGAUGAAUCACUUUGUGAAAAGCUUGAUUUGGAUACAAAAAGUGGUGGAGAAUCACCAAGAAGUUUAAUAAAUCUAAUAGAAGUUGGGAUGAAGAAGUUAUCUCACUUUCAAAUCAGGUGAUUCCAGUUUCCCAGUUUGGGAAUAGCACAGCUUCUUCGUCGUUCCAAUCAAACCAGAAUGAAUCACUUUGUGAAAAGCUUGAUUUGGAUACAUAAAGUGGUGGAGAAUCACCAGGAAGUUGAAUAAAUCUCAUAGGAGUUGGCAUAAAGAAGUUAUCCCACUUUCAAAUCAGGUGAUUCCAGCUUUCAAGUUUGGGAAUAGCACAGAUUCUUCAUCCUUCCAAUCAAACCAGGUUGAAUCACUUUGUGAAAAGCUUGAUUUGGAUACAUAAAGUGGUGGAGAAUCACCAGGAAGUUGAAUAAAUCUCAUAGGAGUUGGCACGAAGAAGUUAUCCCACUUUCAAAUCAGGUGAUUCCAGCUUUCAAGUUUGGGAAUAGCAUAGCUUCUUCAUCGUUCCAAUCAAACCAGGAUGAAUCACUUUGUGAAAAGCUUGAUUUGGAUACAAAAAGUGGUGGAGAAUCACCAGGCAGUUUAAUAAACCCAUAGGAGUUGGGAUGAAGAAGUUAUCCCAUUUUCAAAUAACGUGAUUCCAGUUUUCCAGUUUGGGAAUAGCACAGCUUGUUCGUCGUUUCAUCAAACCAGGAUGAAUCACUUUGUAAGAAGCUUGAUUUUGAUACAUAAAGUGCUGGAGAAUCACCAGGAAGUUGAAUAAAUCUCAUAGGAGUUGGCAAGAAGAAGUUAUCCCACUUUCAAAUCAGGUGAUUCCAGUUUCCCAGUUUGGGAAUAGCACAGCUUCUUCAUCGUUCCAAUCAAACCAGGAUGAAUCACUUUGUGAAAAGCUUGAUUUGGAUACAAAGAGUGGUGGAGAAUCACCAGGAAGUUUAAUAAAUCUCAUAGGAGUUGGGAUGAAGAAGUUAUCCCACUUUCAAAUCAGGUGAUUCCAGCUUUCAAGUUUGGGAAUAGCACAGCUUCUUCAUCGUUCCAAUCAAACCAGGAUGAAUCACUUUGUGAAAAGCUUGAUUUGGAUACAAAAAGUGGUGGAGAAUCACCAGGAAGUUUAAUAAACCCAUAGGAGUUGGGAUGCAGAAGUUAUCUCACUUUCAAAUAACGUGAUUCCAGUUUCUCAGUUUGGGAAUAGCACAGCUUCUUCGUCGUUCCAAUCAAACCAGGAUGAAUCACUUUGUAAGAAGCUUGAUUUAGAUACAUAAAGUGGUGGAGAAUCACCAGGAAGUUGAAUAAAUCUCAUAGGAGUUGGCAGGAAGAAGUUAUCCCACUUUCAAAUCAGGUGAUUCCAGUUUCCCAGUUUGGGAAUAGCACAGCUUGUUCGUCGUUCCAAUCAAACGAGGAUGAAUCACUUUGUAAGAAGCUUGAUUUGGAUACAUAAAGUGGUGGAGAAUCACCAAGACUAGGACAGGAGAUCAACUACUGGAUUCAGCUUCUGCACUAGAGCAUGACACCACCUUCUGUUUCUUACUCUUCCAAGUCACCAACUUGCCUCCAAUGAAUGUGCAAUAGCCGGUUGUUGAUCUUCUGUCAGCUCUAUCACCUGCUGCACAGCUUCUUCGUCGUUCCAAUCAAACCAGGAUGAAUCACUUUGUGAAAAGCUUAAUUUGGAUACAAAAAGUGGUGGAGAAUCACCAGGAAUUUUAAUAAAUCUCAUAGGAGUUGGGAUGAAGAAGUUAUCCCACUUUCAAAUCAGGUGAUUCCAGUUUCCUAGUUUGGGAAAAGCACAGCUUCUUCGUCGUUCUAAUCAAAACAGGAUGAAUCACUUUGUAAGAAGCUUGAUUUGGAUACCUAAAGUGGUGGAGAAUCACCAGGAAGUUGAAUAAAUCUCAUAGGAGUUGGCAUGAAGAAGUUAUCCCACUUUCAAAUCAGGUGAUUCCAGUUUCCCAGUUUGGGAAUAGCACAGCUUCUUCGUCGUUCUAAUCAAACCAGGAUGAAUCACUUUGUAAGAAUCUUGAUUUGGAUACAUAAAGUAGUGGAGAAUCACCAGGAAGUUGAAUAAAUCUCAUAGGAGUUGGCAUGAAGAAGUUAUCCCAUUUUCAAAUCAGGUGAUUCCAGUUUCCCAGUUUGGGAAUAGCACAGCUUCUUCGUCGUUCCAUUCAAACCAGGAUGAAUCACUGAAAGAUUAAGAGAAUGAAAUGAUUUAGAGAAGAUUAAGGAACAGAAUGAGAGAUUAUGAAGAGAUUAGACU
rnacentral:lncRNA from 1 species